rnacentral:rRNA from 1 species
CCUACGGGUGGCAGCAGUGGGGAAUAUUGGACAAUGGGGGAAACCCUGAUCCAGCGACGCCGCGUGAGUGAAGAAGUAUUUCGGUACGUAAAGCUCUAUCAGCAGGAAAGAAAAUGACGGUACCUGACUAAGAAGCCCCGGCUAACUACGUGCCAGCAGCCGCGGUAAUACGUAGGGGACAAGCGUUAUCCGGAUUUAUUGGGUUUAAAGGGUGCGUAGGCGGAUCGUUAAGUCAGUGGUCAAAUUGAGGGGCUCAACCCCUUCCCGCCAUUGAAACUGGCGCUCUUGAGUGGAAGAGAAGUAUGCGGAAUGCGUGGUGUAGCGGUGAAAUGCAUAGAUAUCACGCAGAACCCCGAUUGCGAAGGCAGCAUGCCGGCUUCCGACUGACGCUGAAGCACGAAAGCGUGGGGAUCGAACAGGAUUAGAUACCCUUGUAGUC